rnacentral:rRNA from 1 species
AGCUAGGGAAAAUUGGAUGUAAAUUUUUCUGUAAAUGUCCGUAGAUAUAUAAUUUGUCUGAUUCCGAGUCCGUAUGAGAAAGUUACGCACCUAUUUUAAGGAAGGACAC